GAUGAACGCUGGCGGCGUGCCUAAUACAUGCAAGUCGAGCGAACAGACGAGAGUGCUUGCACUCUCUGACGUUAGCGGCGGACGGGUGAGUAACACGUGGGUAACCUACCUAUAAGACUGGGAUAACUUCGGGAAACCGGAGCUAAUACCGGAUAAUAUUUAGCUUCGCAUGAAUCAAUAGUGAAAGACGGUUCUGCUGUCACUUAUAGAUGGACCCGCGGUGUAUUAGCUAGUUGGUGAGGUAACGGCUCACCAAGGCAACGAUACUUAGCCGGCCUGAGAGGGUGCUCGGCCACACUGGGACUGAGACACGGCCCAGACUCCUACGGGAGGCAGCAGUAGGGAAUCUUCCGCAAUGGACGAAAGUCUGACGGAGCAAUGCCGCGUGAGUGAAGAAGGUUUUCGGAUCGUAAAACUCUGUUGUAAGGGAAGAACAAGUACGUUAGUAACUGAACGUACCUUGACGGUACCUUACCAGAAAGCCACGGCUAACUACGUG
rnacentral:rRNA from 1 species